UGAUAGUGAGUCUUGGCUGAGACAAGAAGAAUCAGAGAAGAAUCUACUGUCCCCAGAAACGCCACUUUUAAACACGAGACAACUAAGUAACAGUUUCCAGGAUCCAAGGGGAGCAAAAGAGAGAACAAUUUUCUGUGUAGCUAGGUAAGGCGACAUGCCGGCUUUAUACUUCUUCCGGCGUGAUAACGAUAAUGAUGACAACAAUGGGCAAAAAGCACUGUCCGCUAAUGAUGACGAUUAUCAUAGUUAUUAACAAAUCUCAGUUAUAGUCCUGAAAAAAUCUCAAGGGAUCCUUUAAACAAUCCACUUAAUCUCGCCAGAAGUCAAAGUUGCCUACACUCAUUCUAAGGUUCGUGCGAUUUUACGACGAAUUUUCAAUUCCGGUGUGUUGCAUGCGCGACUUUUGAUAGAAAAAACCUGCACGCGCCAUAACUUAAAAGAACGUGUUAGCGGAAUGAAUCAAAUCUAUAUCACUUUGCAUACAUUCUUGGGAACAGAAAAAAUUACUUAGAGCAAACAUUCUAAGUAUAGUGUUCAUUCCGUGCAAUGGGGCAUAAAUAAAAGGUUCUGGUGUAAAAGACACCUUAUUUUAUACCACUGAUGACAAGCAAAAAGGUUAUAUGGGUACCCGGUUAAAAAUAUAUUGAUAACUCUAUUAAUUAAUACCAGUUCUAUUUUAAAGGAGAAAGUUAUGAGAAUAAAAUAAAAGUUGUCUGUACCACGAA